ACGACCUUACUUGAACAGGAUCUGUUCUAUAGGGAGAACUUCUGUGUCUUUGAUUUCUAAGGAGACAGGCCUUUAAAACCUGAUGAUGAUUCAUGGCUGUGCGAUUUGAGUGUGAUUAACGGCUACGAUUCUCCUCGGAGUCUCUGCGCCGUAGAGGAUCGCUACCUAGCAUGGUCUUGACCUCGCUAGGGUGGUCGCACGGUUGUCUGAUAGGUU
rfam:Brassica oleracea var. oleracea cultivar TO1000 chromosome C3, whole genome shotgun sequence